rnacentral:rRNA from 1 species
CCGAAAGCUAUUUAGGUAGCGCCUCGUGAACUCAUCUUCGGGGGUAGAGCACUGUUUCGGCUAGGGGGUCAUCCCGACUUACCAACCCGAUGCAAACUACGAAUACCGAAGAAUGUUAUCACGGGAGACACACGGCGGGUGCUAACGUCCGUCGUGAAGAGGGAAACAACCCAGACCGCCAGCUAAGGUCCCAAAGUCAUGGUUAAGUGGGAAACGAUGUGGGAAGGCACAGACAGCCAGGAUGUUGGCUUAGAAGCAGCCAUCAUUUAAAGAAAGCGUAAUAGCUCACUGGUCGAGUCGGCCUGCGCGGAAGAUGUAACGGGGCUAAACCAUGCACCGAAGCUGCGGCAGCGACACUAUGUGUUGUUGGGUAGGGGAGCGUUCUGUAAGCCUGCGAAGGUGUGCUGUGAGGCAUGCUGGAGGUAUCAGAAGUGCGAAUGCUGACAUAAGUAACGAUAAAGCGGGUGAAAAGCCCGCUCGCCGGAAGACCAAGGGUUCCUGUCCAACGUUAAUCGGGGCAGGGUGAGUCGACCCCUAAGGCGAGGCCGAAAGGCGUAGUCGAUGGGAAACAGGUUAAUAUUCCUGUACUUGGUGUUACUGCGAAGGGGGGACGGAGAAGGCUAUGUUAGCCGGGCGACGGUUGUCCCGGUUUAAGCAUGUAGGCUGGUUAUCCAGGCAAAUCCGGAUAAUCAAGGCUGAGGUGUGAUGACGAGGCACUACGGUGCUGAAGUAACAAAUGCCCUGCUUCCAGGAAAAGCCUCUAAGCAUCAGGUAACAUCAAAUCGUACCCCAAACCGACACAGGUGGUCAGGUAGAGAAUACCAAGGCGCUUGAGAGAACUCGGGUGAAGGAACUAGGCAAAAUGGUGCCGUAACUUCGGGAGAAGGCACGCUGGUGUGUAGGUGAAGCCCCUGCGGGUGGAGCUGAGACCAGUCGAAGAUACCAGCUGGCUGCAACUGUUUAUUAAAAACACAGCACUGUGCAAACACGAAAGUGGACGUAUACGGUGUGACGCCUGCCCGGUGCCGGAAGGUUAAUUGAUGGGGUUAUCCGUAAGGAGAAGCUCUUGAUCGAAGCCCCGGUAAACGGCGGCCGUAACUAUAACGGUCCUAAGGUAGCGAAAUUCCUUGUCGGGUAAGUUCCGACCUGCACGAAUGGCGUAAUGAUGGCCAGGCUGUCUCCACCCGAGACUCAGUGAAAUUGAACUCGCUGUGAAGAUGCAGUGUACCCGCGGCAAGACGGAAAGACCCCGUGAACCUUUACUAUAGCUUGACACUGAACAUUGAGCCUUGAUGUGUAGGAUAGGUGGGAGGCUUUGAAGCGUGGACGCCAGUCUGCGUGGAGCCAACCUUGAAAUACCACCCUUUAAUGUUUGAUGUUCUAACGUUGGCCCC